rnacentral:rRNA from 1 species
AUGAUCCAGUAUGCCCAUAAAAGAAAGUUGCCAGUCAUUGCUUUGAAGUUGGAUUUUCAUAAGGCCUCCGACAUCGUCAAUUGGUGUUGCUUGCACAAGAUUUUUGAUGCAAGAGGCUUUCUGCCAGUGUGGACAAACUGGAUACACACUCUCCUGUCUUCUGGCAGCUCCGGAGUACUUCUCAACGGUGAGCUGGGGGACCCCAUCUUGGCAAAGAAAGGUUUUCGACAAGGGGAUGCUCCAUCCCCGUACUUAUUCAUCCUUGUUGCCGAUGUGCUUCAGAGGAUGUGA